UGAGAAGUCUGGCUUUCUUAAACAAUUUAAGAUGAAGUCCAGACGUUUGGAUACGUGCGCCUAGUGGGCCAUUUUUGGUAAGCAGAACUGGCGCUGCGGGAUGAACCGAACGUUGAGUUACGGCGCCCGACGAGACGCUCAUGAGAUCCCAUAAAAGGUGUUGGUUGCUAUAGACAGCAGGACGGUGGCCAUGGAAGUCGGAAUCCGCUAAGGAGUGUGUAACAACUCACCUGCCGAAGCAACUAGCCCUGAAAAUGGAUGGCGCUGUAGCGUCUGGCCUAUACUCAACCGUUAUUGUAAUGGUGUGUUUGAAAAGCACAUCCAUAACAGUCAUACAAUAACGAGUAGGAGGGCCGCGGCGGUAGCGUUGAAGGCGUACGGGCGUGAGCCUGGCUGGAGCUGCCGUCGGUGCAGAUCUUGGUGGUAGUAGCAAAUACUCAAGCGAGAACCUUGAGGACUGAAGUGGAGAAGGGUUCCAUGUGAACAGCAGUUGAACAUGGGUCAGUCGACCCUAAGGUAUCGGCGAAAGCCGUUCAGAAGCGGUGUGGAUAUGUAUGCAGAAAUGUGUACAGGUUAUUGGGUUACCUGCUGGUUGUGAAACGGGGGUUGGCUGGUAACGGCCGGCCUGCUGUCAUGAUUAGUAGCCAAUAAUCACCGCACCUGCCGAAAGGGAAUCGGGUUAAUAUUCCCGAACCUGGCAUCGGAGACUGAAUGGCCUUCGGGUCAUUACAUGCGGUAACGCAAAUGAACUCAGAGACGCUGACACGUACCCUGGGAAGAGUUGUCUUUUCUUGAUAAGGAGCAAACUCCCUGGAAUCGGAUCAUCCGGCGAUAGGGAGAAAGCAUCCGUAAAGCACCGCGGUUCUUGCGGUGUCCGGUGCGUACGUGUCGGUCCUUGAAAAUCUGAGGGAGAGUGUGAUUUUCGUGCCAGAUCGUACCCAUAUCCGCAGCAGGUCUCCAAGG
rnacentral:rRNA from 1 species